rnacentral:rRNA from 1 species
UGAGGAAUAUUGGGCAAUGGAUGCAAGUCUGACCCAGCCAUGCCGCGUGCCGGAUGAAGGCCCUCAGGGUUGUAAACGGCUUUUAUUCGGGAAGAAGAGCAGGGAUGCGUCCUUGUGUGACGGUACCGAAUGAAUAAGCACCGGCUAACUCCGUGCCAGCAGCCGCGGUAAUACGGAGGGUGCGAGCGUUGUCCGGAUUUAUUGGGUUUAAAGGGUGCGUAGGUGGCUUAAUAAGUCAGUGGUGAAAUACAGCCGCUCAACGGUUGAGGUGCCAUUGAUACUGUUAAGCUUGAAACAAGUGGAGGCUGCCGGAAUGGAUGGUGUAGCGGUGAAAUGCAUAGAUAUCAUCCAGAACACCGAUUGCGAAGGCAGGUGGCUACGUUUGAUUUGACACUGAGGCACGAAAGCAGGGGGAGGAAACA